rnacentral:rRNA from 1 species
UACGUAGGUGGCAAGCGUUGUCCGGAUUUACUGGGCGUAAAGAGCGCGCAGGCGGUCGUUCAAGUCGCGUGUGAAAGCCCCCGGCUCAACUGGGGAGGGUCACGCGAUACUGAUCGACUGGAAGGCAGGAGAGGGUAGUGGAAUUCCCGGUGUAGUGGUGAAAUGCGUAGAUAUCGGGAGGAACACCAGUGGCGAAGGCGACUACCUGGCCUGUUCUUGACGCUGAGGCGCGAAAGCUAGGGAGCAACAGGGG